CAGGCUUUGAGGAACUGGGUUAAGAAUUAAAUGUAAACCCAUUCUGACUCCAGAAUUAUUUUAAGUCGAACUUUUUUUUUAACCGAAUCUCUCUGUCGCCCAGACUGGAGUACAUUAGAGCCAUCUCGAUUCACUGAAACCUCUGCCUCUCAGGUUCAAGUGUUUCUCCUGCCUCAGCCUUCAGAGUGUAGCUGGGAUUACAAGCGCUCGCCGUCGCGCCCGGCGUGUUUUUGUAUUUUUCGUAGAGACGGGAUUCGGCCAUGUUGGCCAGGCUGAUCCCGAACUCCUGAUUUCUGGUAAUCCGCCCGCCUCAGCCUCUCAAAGUGCUUGAAUUACAGGCGUGAGUCACCGCGACCGGCCGAAAUCGAUUGGUUUUGAAGCCUUCAGUAGCAUUAAAACGAAAAGUGCUCCCAAUGCAUUCCCUUUUGUCUUAAAUUGGUUUCUUACAGCUACUUUACUUGAAAAGGUGGUGGCUCUGAAAAGAGCCUUUGCUUGGACCGUCAGAGAGACCACAGUAAUCACGCCCUCUCUCCGCGGAUGCGGCGGGCGAGCUGGAUGUCCUUGGGCAUGAUAGUGACGCGCUUGGCGUGGAUGGCGCACAGGAGGUGAUGGCCGGAAGAACAUGGCAGAGGGCAAAACAAAACAGCAUUGGGAACAAGCUCUGUUUAAAAGGAGACUUGUGAACAGCAAAGAGUAGAAAGGGUUCUCUUACAACUGAAGCCCAUGGAAGACAAAUGUGUACUGCGUAUUAUGAGAUUCUGGAAUUUCCCCAAACCACAUUGAUUGCUGGGAGAAUAGAAGAAGUGGAUUACAAGUGGAACUUAGAAGGGGAGUAUUCGAGAAGACGUCUCUGCAAAUCCAUUUAGAGAGACCUUUCUCCAGUGGUGACUCAAAGAUGCAGCUCCUUUCAUCCUGUGGCUUGGCCAUCUUCAGCACAUGGCUCCCAAGGAUGUCCUCAGGAUGGUCUCUAAUCCAAGGAGCCUGAAGAGAAAAAAAGGCAUGGAGUAUUGUGAGUGGUAGGUGGUUAUGGACCAGUUAUGGAAGAAUACACAUCACUUUUGCCCACCUUCUACUAACCAGAACUCACACAGCCAUAGACACUGACAAGUAGGACUUAACAAGAAUCUAAUUUUGAGUCUAGGAAUACGACUGUAGCAAAUAUUUAACAGCUUCAAACACAGGUGCAUUGCUAUCACUAUGCUUGGCCCAGGCCUGUCUCCCUUUCCUGCCAUGUCACAGGGGCCAGCAUUUAUGUCUAGAUUGGGUUGGUUGGGAUAUUAAGACAAUAAUGAACCAAUACAACAUCUUGAGCAUAAAACCAACUGAUACAAUGAUGUACAAGUCAGAUGAUUCUGAUGAUUAUGAAUUAUGUCAAUAAAAGAAAUGUGAUAACUAA
rnacentral:lncRNA from 1 species